GGUGAAUGUAUUAGUGAUCAUGAUGAUGAAGAUAUUGUACUGAGAGACUUAUGAAUGAUAGUCACAAGUGUGAAUUUUUGAUGCAGAAGAUUAUUCUGGAAAUAUUAGUAUAGCCACUAGAAUAGUUACCUUAUCUCACUAAGUUUCAAGACAAGAAUAUCUUAGGUUUGUUUAAUUUCAUGUGAAAAGCUAAAUUCA